CUGGCUCAGGACGAACGCUGGCGGCGUGCUUAACACAUGCAAGUCGAGCGGUAAGGCCUUUCGGGGUACACGAGCGGCGAACGGGUGAGUAACACGUGGGUGAUCUGCCCUGCACUUCGGGAUAAGCCUGGGAAACUGGGUCUAAUACCGGAUAUGACCUCCUAUCGCAUGGUGGGUGGUGGAAAGAUUUAUCGGUGCAGGAUGGGCCCGCGGCCUAUCAGCUUGUUGGUGGGGUAAUGGCCUACCAAGGCGACGACGGGUAGCCGACCUGAGAGGGUGACCGGCCACACUGGGACUGAGACACGGCCCAGACUCCUACGGGAGGCAGCAGUGGGGAAUAUUGCACAAUGGGCGAAAGCCUGAUGCAGCGACGCCGCGUGAGGGAUGACGGCCUUCGGGUUGUAAACCUCUUUCAGCAGGGACGAAGCGCAAGUGACGGUACCUGCAGAAGAAGCACCGGCUAACUACGUGCCAGCAGCCGCGGUAAUACGUAGGGUGCAAGCGUUGUCCGGAAUUACUGGGCGUAAAGAGUUCGUAGGCGGUUUGUCGCGUCGUUUGUGAAAACCAGCAGCUCAACUGCUGGCUUGCAGGCGAUACGGGCAGACUUGAGUACUGCAGGGGAGACUGGAAUUCCUGGUGUAGCGGUGAAAUGCGCAGAUAUCAGGAGGAACACCGGUGGCGAAGGCGGGUCUCUGGGCAGUAACUGACGCUGAGGAACGAAAGCGUGGGUAGCGAACAGGAUUAGAUACCCUGGUAGUCCACGCCGUAAACGGUGGGCGACUAGGUGUGGGUUCCUUCCACGGAAUCCGUGCCGUAGCUAACGCAUUAAG
rnacentral:rRNA from 1 species